rnacentral:rRNA from 1 species
CGGGUGAGUAACGCGUGAGGAACCUGCCUCAAAGAGGGGGACAACAGUUGGAAACAACUGCUAAUACCGCAUAAGCCCACGGCUCGGCAUCGAGCAGAGGGAAAAGGAGUGAUCCGCUUUGAGAUGGCCUCGCGUCCGAUUAGCUAGUUGGUGAGGUAACGGCCCACCAAGGCGACGAUCGGUAGCCGGACUGAGAGGUUGAACGGCCACAUUGGGACUGAGACACGGCCCAG